GGAGACAUGUUUUGAGUCCCUUUCAACGACGAAAUACACUUCAUCAUGUCCUAAAAAUGAAGCAGAAUGGAGAUCUCGAUUUACAGAAUUUAGCUGCCAAAAAGUUCGUCAAAAUUGUACAUCUAAGGAGAAAUUCACGUACCAUUGCGUAUUAAAUGUUUGGGGCAAUGCUACGAUUGAGCUGUGCGCCGAGGAAACAGUUAUUGUCGGUCGAAAAUGUGCAGAAUUUUCGCAUGGCGGUGCUUUUCUACAAGAACAUUAUGAACAUGUCUGUAAUAAAUGCCCAUAUCAUUAUAGCUCCAGUGAAGGUUUUCUUUAUCAAGAAUGUUUCAAAUUCAGCAACCUGAAUGAAGACACAAAUAAGACUGCAAUGAGCAAGAAAUUG